GGAAAAAAUGGAGAGCCAUCUAUUGGUCCUGUUUAUAGAAAUCCAAUAGCUAAAAAUGGUUUUCCAUCAGCUGAUCCUGAUUUGUCUACAGCUUGGCAACUCUUUAGAUCAGCUGUUGAAAAAUAUCCAGGAAACAGAAUGCUGGGAUGGCGUGAUUUUAAGGAUGGAAAGUGGGGUCCUUAUAAUUGGAAAACCUACAAAGAAGCUUAUGAAGAGACUUUGCAGACUGGUUCUGCAUUACGGGCUCACGGAAUUGAACCUGGUGCUCGAAUUGGAAUUUAUGGAGCCAAUUGUCCUCAGUGGAUAGUAGCAAUGGAGGCUUGCAGUGCUCACAGUUUGAUAUGUGUUCCUCUCUAUGAUACCCUCGGAUCCGGCGCUGUAGAUUUUAUUAUUGAACAUGCUGAGAUUGAUAUCGUUUUUGUUCAAGAUAAGAAAGUGAAAGAACUUCUAAAUGCAGAGUGCACACAUGCUAAACGCCUGAAAUUGAUCGUGUGUUUCACUUUGCUACAGCAGGAAGAAAAGGAUAAGGCAGUUUCA
rnacentral:misc_RNA from 1 species